rnacentral:rRNA from 1 species
AUUAGAGUUUGAUCCUGGCUCAGUAAGUCGUAACAAGGUAACCAUACACGCUAGAGUUUGAUCCUGGCUCAGAACGAACGCUGGCGGCGUGGUUAAGACAUGCAAGUCGAACGGUUCAGUUGGGUAGUAAUAUUCAGCUGGAUAGUGGCGAACGGGUGCGUAACACGUGGAUACAUUCCAAAAAGUGGGGAAUAGCCCAGGGAAACUUGGAUUAAUGCCGCAUGUGAUCUAAGGAUCAAAGAUGGCGAAAGCUGUCGCUUUUUGAUUGGUCUGCGGCCUAUCAGCUAGUUGGUGAGGUAAAGGCUCACCAAGGCGACGACGGGUAGCUGGUCUGAGAGGACGACCAGCCACACUGGAACUGAGACACGGUCCAGACACCUACGGGUGGCAGCAGUCGAGAAUCUUUCACAAUGGGGGCAACCCUGAUGGAGCGACGCCGCGUGGAGGAUAAGGUCUUCGGAUUGUAAACUCCUGUCAUGCGCGAACAAAAAGCCGGCAAUAACACGGUCGGUCCUUGAUAGUAGCGCAAGAGGAAGAGACGGCUAACUCUGUGCCAGCAGCCGCGGUAAUACAGAGGUCUCAAGCGUUGUUCGGAAUCACUGGGCGUAAAGGGUGCGUAGGCGGCUUAAUAAGUCAAAUGUGAAACGCUGGGGCUCAACCUCAGAAUUGCAUAUGAUACUGUUGGGCUAGAGGGCUGAAGAGGAGUUUUGAAUUCACGGUGUAGCAGUGAAAUGCGUAGAUAUCGUGAGGAACACCAAAGGCGAAAGCAAAACUCUUGGCAGCUCCUGACGCUCAGGCACGAAGGCUAGGGGAGCAAACGGGAUUAGAUACCCCGGUAGUCCUAGCAGUAAACGGUGCAUGCUUGGUAUGGGAUUUUAGACAUAUUCCGUGCCGUAGUUAACACGUUAAGCAUGCCGCCUGGGAAGUACGAUCGCAAGAUUAAAACUCAAAGAAAUUGACGGGGACCCGCACAAGCGGUGGAGUAUGUGGCUUAAUUCGAUGCAACGCGAAGAACCUUACCUAGGCUUGACAUGCACUGUGUCACCAGUGAAAGCUGGUUAGUGUAGCAAUACACGCUCUGCACAGGUGCUGCAUGGCUGUCUUCAGCUCGUGUCGUGAGAUGUUGGGUUAAGUCCCGCAACGAGCGCAACCCCUGUAAUUUGUUGCUAAAAGCUUAGCUUAGAACUCAAAUUAGACUGCCUAGGUCAACUAGGAGGAAGGUGGGGAUGACGUCAAGUCCGUAUGGCCCUUACGCCUAGGGCUGCACACGUACUACAAUGCUUAGUACAAAGAGAGCCUUAACCGCGAGGUUUGGGAAAUCAGUAAAACUAAGCUCAGUUCAGAUUGUAGACUGCAACUCGUCUACAUGAAGUUGGAAUCGCUAGUAAUGGCAUAUCAGCUACGAUGCCGUGAAUACGUUCCCGGGUCUUGUACACACCGCCCGUCACAUCAUGGAAGCUGGUUUUGCCCAACGUGCUUGAUCUAACCGCAAGGGAGUAUAGCAUUAAGGUAAGGCUGGUGACUGGGAUGAAGUCGUAACAAGGUAACC